AGGACGAACGCUGGCGGCGUGCUUAACACAUGCAAGUCGAACGAGGUGCUUGCACCUAGUGGCGAACGGGUGAGUAACACGUGAGCAACCUGCCCCUGGCUCUGGGAUAGCCUCCGGAAACGGGGAUUAAUACCGGACAUGACCUUCUUCCGCAUGGUGGAGGGUGGAAAGUUUUUCGGCCAGGGAGGGGCUCGCGGCCUAUCAGCUUGUUGGAGGGGUAACGGCCCACCAAGGCGACGACGGGUAGCCGGCCUGAGAGGGCGACCGGCCACGACUGGGACUGAGACACGGUCCAGACUCCUACGGGAGGCAGCAGUGGGGAAUAUUGCGCAAUGGGCGAAAGCCUGACGCAGCGACGCCGCGUGGGGGAUGAAGCUUUUCGGAGUGUAAACCCCUUUCGACCCGGACGAAUGACCCGCAAGGGUUUGACGGUACGGGUAUAAGAAGCCCGGCUAACUACGUGCCAGCAGCCGC
rnacentral:rRNA from 1 species